rnacentral:rRNA from 1 species
UAGGGAAUCUUCCGCAAUGGACGCAAGUCUGACGGAGCAACGCCGCGUGAGUGAAGAAGGAUUUCGGUUCGUAAAACUCUGUUGUUAGAGAAGAACAGCGCAUAGAGUAACUGUUAUGCGUGUGACGGUAUCUAACCAGAAAGCCACGGCUAACUACGUGCCAGCAGCCGCGGUAAUACGUAGGUCCCGAGCGUUGUCCGGAUUUAUUGGGCGUAAAGCGAGCGCAGGCGGUUAGAUAAGUCUGAAGUUAAAGGCAGUGGCUCAACCAUUGUAGGCUUUGGAAACUGUUUAACUUGAGGGCAGAAGGGGAGAGUGGAAUUCCAUGUGUAGCGGUGAAAUGCGUAAAUAUAUGGAGGAACACCGGUGGCGGAAGCGGCUCUCUGGGCUGUAACUGACGCUGAAGCUCGAAAGCGUGGGGAGCGAACAGG